CCCUUAGAUGUUCUGGGCCGCACACGCGCUACACUGAAGGAGGCAGCGUGUACUCCUGGAUCGAAAGAUUUGGGUAACCCGCGAAUCUCCUUUGUGCUAGGGAUUGAGAUUUGCAAUUAUCCUUCAUGAACGAGGAAUUCCCAGUAAGUGCAAGUCAUAAGCUUGCGCUGACUACGUCCCUGCCCUUUGUACACACCGCCCGUCGCUACUACCGAUUGAGUGAUCCGGUGAAUAAUUCGGACUGCGGCAUUGACCGGUUCCCGAUCGUUGCUGCGGAAAGUUUAGUGAACCUUAUCACUUAGAGGAAGGAGAAGUCGUAACA
rnacentral:rRNA from 1 species